rnacentral:rRNA from 1 species
UACAGAGGUCUCAAGCGUUGUUCGGAUUCAUUGGGCGUAAAGGGCUCGUAGGCGGCCAACUAAGUCAUACGUGAAAUCCCUCAGCUUAACUGGGGAACUGCGUGUGAUACUGGAUGGCUUGGAUUUGGGAGAGGGAUGCGGAAUUCCAGGUGUAGCGGUGAAAUGCGUAGAUAUCUGGAGGAACACCGGUGGCGAAGGCGGCAUCCUGGACCAAUAUUGACGCUGAGGAGCGAAAGCCAGGGGAGCAAACGGG